rnacentral:rRNA from 1 species
GAUGAACGCUAGCGGCAGGCCUAAUACAUGCAAGUCGAACGAACCCUUCGGGGUUAGUGGCGCACGGGUGCGUAACGUGUGGGAAUCUGCCCUUUGCUUCGGAAUAACAGUUAGAAAUGACUGCUAAUACCGGAUGAUGUCUUCGGACCAAAGCUUUAUGCGGCAAAGGAUGAGCCCGCGUAGGAUUAGGUAGUUGGUGGGGUAGAAGCCUACCAAGCCGACGAUCCUUAGCUGGUCUGAGAGGAUGAUCAGACACACUGGGACUGAGACACGGCCCAGACUCCUACGGGAUGCAGCAGUGGGGAAUAUUGGACAAUGGGCGCAAGCCUGAUCCAUCAAUGCCGCGUGAGUGAUGAAGGCCUUCGGGUCGUAAAGCUCUUUUACCAUGGAUGAUAAUGACAGUACCUGGAGAAUAAGCUCCGGCUAACUCCGUGCCAGCAGCCGCAGUAACAC